UCAUAGCGACUAUCGUGGCAUAUCAAUAAGCGGAGGAAAAGAAACUAACAAGGAUUCCCUUAGUAACGGCGAGUGAAGCGGGAAGAGCUCAAAUUUGAAAUCUUCAAGGUUUUACCUUGACGAAUUGUAGUUUAAAGAAGUGUUUUCUGUUGAAGUUUUGGUAAAAGUUCUUUGGAAUAGGACAUCAUAGAGGGUGAGAAUCCCGUAUUUGACCAUUAUUUUCAGCUGUGUGAUACACUUUCAAAGAGUCGGAUUGUUUGGGAAUGCAGUCCAAAAUGGGUGGUAAAUUUCAUCUAAAGCUAAAUAUUGGCGAGAGACCGAUAGCGAACAAGUACCGUGAGGGAAAGAUGAAAAGAACUUUGAAAAGAGAGUUAAACAGUACGUGAGAUUGUCAAAAGGGAAGCGUUUGACACCAGUGUUGUUUUCUCGAAAAUCAAUUAAAAAUGGCUGGAUUUUGUGUUGUAUUGACCUUAAAAGCUUUCUUCACUUUUUCAUGUCUUUUUUAAUGCACUUUUCGUUUAACAAGUCAACAUCAGUUUCUUUUGUUGUAAAAGGGUCAUUGGAAGGUGGCUUUCUUUUCGGAGAAAGUGUUUAUAGCCUUUGAUCUCUGCAACCGGAGAGACUGAGGUCUGCAGCGUAGACUCUUCGGGGUUAGAUACAUUUGUGCUAAGCUAUAGCUUUUUAUAGACAACUUGUUGACUAUAUUUAGUCUUGUGGCUUACUCGCUUAUGCUAUUUUACCUACGCUUAGGAUGUUGAUAGUCACAGCGUGUAC
rnacentral:rRNA from 1 species